rnacentral:piRNA from 1 species
UUUUGUCGGAGUACCACUACCUGUACA